UACGAAGGGGGCUAGCGUUGUUCGGAAUUACUGGGCGUAAAGCGCACGUAGGCGGAUUUGUAAGUCAGGGGUGAAAUCCCGGGGCUCAACCCCGGAACUGCCUUUGAUACUGCGAAUCUCGAGUCCGGAAGAGGUGAGUGGAAUUCCUAGUGUAGAGGUGAAAUUCGUAGAUAUUAGGAAGAACACCAGUGGCGAAGGCGGCUCACUGGUCCGGUACUGACGCUGAGGUGCGAAAGCGUGGGGAGCAAACAGG
rnacentral:rRNA from 1 species